rnacentral:rRNA from 1 species
AUUGAACGCUGGCGGCAGGCCUAACACAUGCAAGUCGAGCGGAUGAAGGGAGCUUGCUCCUGGAUUCAGCGGCGGACGGGUGAGUAAUGCCUAGGAAUCUGCCUGGUAGUGGGGGAUAACGUCCGGAAACGGGCGCUAAUACCGCAUACGUCCUGAGGGAGAAAGUGGGGGAUCUUCGGACCUCACGCUAUCAGAUGAGCCUAGGUCGGAUUAGCUAGUUGGUGGGGUAAAGGCCUACCAAGGCGACGAUCCGUAACUGGUCUGAGAGGAUGAUCAGUCACACUGGAACUGAGACACGGUCCAGACUCCUACGGGAGGCGGCAGUGGGGAAUAUUGGACAAUGGGCGAAAGCCUGAUCCAGCCAUGCCGCGUGCGUGAAGAAGGUCUUCGGAUUGUAAAGCACUUUAAGUUGGGAGGAAGGGCAGUAAGUUAAUACCUUGCUGUUUUGACGUUACCAACAGAAUAAGCACCGGCUAACUUCGUG